rnacentral:piRNA from 1 species
UGAUCUUUAGUUCAAUCCCCAGAAUCC